CAGUCGCCACGGUAAUACGUAGGGGGCGAGCGUUGUCCGAAGUUACUGGGCGUAAAGCGCGCGUAGGCGGCUUCUUAAGUCUGAGGUGAAAGGUUCAACGCUUAACGUGAACAGUGCCUUGGAUACUGGGGAGCUUGAGUAUGGGAGAGGGCAGUGGAAUGGCUGGUGUAGCGGUGAAAUGCGUAGAUAUCAGUCGGAACACCCAUGGCGAAGGCAGCUGCCUGGCCUAAUACUGACGCUGAGGUGCGAAAGCGUGGGGAGCGAACGGGAUUAGAUACCCGCGUAGUCCCUGUCUCUUAUU
rnacentral:rRNA from 1 species